rnacentral:rRNA from 1 species
UUAGCAGAGCCAGCUUGUGUGGCGCUUAGAAGUGAGAAUGCCGGUGUGAGUAGCGAAAGACGGGUGAGAAUCCCGUCCACCGAUUGACUAAGGUUUCCAGAGGAAGGCUCGUCCGCUCUGGGUUAGUCGGGUCCUAAGCUGAGGCCGACAGGCGUAGGCGAUGGAUAACAGGUUGAUAUUCCUGUACCACCUAGUAUCGUUUUAAUCGAUGGGGGGACGCAGUAGGAUAGGCGAAGCGUGCUAUUGGAUUGCACGUCCAAGCAGUAAGACUGAGUGUUAGGCAAAUCCGGCACUCAUAAGGUCAAGCUGUGAUGGGGAGAGGAAAUUGUUUCCUCGAGUCGUUGAUUUCACACUGCCAAGAAAAGCCUCUAGAUAGAUAACAGGUGCCCGUACCGCAAACCGACACAGGUAGUCAAGAUGAGAAUUCUAAGGUGAGCGAGCGAACUCUCGUUAAGGAACUCGGCAAAAUGACCCCGUAACUUCGGGAGAAGGGGUGCUCUUUAGGGUUAACGCCCAGAAGAGCCGCAGUGAAUAGGCCCAAGCGACUGUUUAUCAAAAACACAGGUCUCUGCUAAACCGUAAGGUGAUGUAUAGGGGCUGACGCCUGCCCGGUGCUGGAAGGUUAAGAGGAGUAGUUAGCUUCUGCGAAGCUACGAAUCGAAGCCCCAGUAAACGGCGGCCGUAACUAUAACGGUCCUAAGGUAGCGAAAUUCCUUGUCGGGUAAGUUCCGACCCGCACGAAAGGCGUAACGAUUUGGGCACUGUCUCAACGAGAGACUCGGUGAAAUCAUAGUACCUGUGAAGAUGCAGGUUACCCGCGACAGGACGGAAAGACCCCGUGGAGCUUUACUGUAGCCUGAUAUUGAAAUUCGGCACAGCUUGUACAGGAUAGGUAGGAGCCUUUGAAACGUGAGCGCUAGCUUACGUGGAGGCAUUGGUGGGAUACUACCCUAGCUGUGUUGGCUUUCUAACCCGCACCACUUAUCGUGGUGGGAGACAGUGUCAGGUGGGCAGUUUGACUGGGGCGGUCGCCUCCUAAAAGGUAACGGAGGCGCUCAAAGGUUCCCUCAGAAUGGUUGGAAAUCAUUCAUAGAGUGUAAAGGCAUAAGGGAGCUUGACUGCGAGACUUACAAGUCGAGCAGGGUCGAAAGACGGACUUAGUGAUCCGGUGGUUCCGCAUGGAAGGGCCAUCGCUCAACGGAUAAAAGCUACCCCGGGGAUAACAGGCUUAUCUCCCCCAAGAGUUCACAUCGACGGGGAGGUUUGGCACCUCGAUGUCGGCUCAUCGCAUCCUGGGGCUGUAGUCGGUCCCAAGGGUUGGGCUGUUCGCCCAUUAAAGCGGUACGCGAGCUGGGUUCAGAACGUCGUGAGACAGUUCGGUCCCUAUCCGUCGUGGGCGUAGGAAAUUUGAGAGGAGCUGUCCUUAGUACGAGAGGACCGGGAUGGACAUACCUCUGGUGUACCAGUUGUCGUGCCAACGGCAUAGCUGGGUAGCUAUGUAUGGACGGGAUAAGUGCUGAAAGCAUCUAAGCAUGAAGCCCCCCUCAAGAUGAGAUUUCCCAACUUCGGUUAUAAGAUCCCUCAAAGAUGAUGAGGUUAAUAGGUUCGAGGUGGAAGCGUGGUGACACGUGGAGCUGACGAAUACUAAUCGAUCGAAGACUUAAUCAA